rnacentral:rRNA from 1 species
CAAACGGCACCGGAGUAUAAUGAAAGUCGAGCGCUUGCCAAGAAAGCUUGCUUAAGUUGUUGCUUGAGCGGCGGACGGGUGAGUAACACUGUGGGCAACCUGCCUAUAAGACUGGGAUAACUUCGGGAAACCGGAGCUAAUACCGGAUAAUGCUUUUGAACACAUGUUCGAAAGCGGAAAGAUGGUUUCGGCUAUCACUUAUAGAUGGGCCCGCGGCGCAUUAGCUAGUUGGUGAGGUAACGGCUCACCAAGGCGACGAUGCGUAGCCGACCUGAGAGGGUGAUCGGCCACACUGGGACUGAGACACGGCCCAGACUCCUACGGGAGGCAGCAGUAGGGAAUCUUCCGCAAUGGACGAAAGUCUGACGGAGCAACGCCGCGUGAGUGAUGAAGGUUUUCGGAUCGUAAAACUCUGUUGUUAGGGAAGAACAAGUACCGGAGUAACUGCCGGUACCUUGACGGUACCUAACCAAAAAGCCACGGCUAACUACUUGCCAGCAGCCCGCGGUAAUACGUAGGUGGCAAGCGUUGUCCGGAAUUAUUGGGCGUAAAGCGCGCGCAGGCGGUUCUUUAAGUCUGAUGUGAAAGCCCACGGCUCAACCGUGGAGGGUCAUUGGAAACUGGGGAACUUGAGUGCAGAAGAGAAGAGCGGAAUUCCACGUGUAGCGGUGAAAUGCGUAGAGAUGUGGAGGAACACCAGUGGCGAAGGCGGCUCUUUGGUCUGUAACUGACGCUGAGGCGCGAAAGCGUGGGGAGCAAACAGGAUUAGAUACCCUGGUAGUCCACGCCGUAAACGA